GAUGAACGCUGGCGGCGUGCCUAAUACAUGCAAGUCGAGCGAACAGACGAGGAGCUUGCUCCUCUGACGUUAGCGGCGGACGGGUGAGUAACACGUGGAUAACCUACCUAUAAGACUGGGAUAACUUCGGGAAACCGGAGCUAAUACCGGAUAAUAUAUUGAACCGCAUGGUUCAAUAGUGAAAGACGGUUUUGCUGUCACUUAUAGAUGGAUCCGCGCCGCAUUAGCUAGUUGGUAAGGUAACGGCUUACCAAGGCAACGAUGCGUAGCCGACCUGAGAGGGUGAUCAGCCACACUGGAACUGAGACACGGUCCAGACUCCUACGGGAGGCAGCAGUGGGGAAUCUUCCGCAAUGGGCGAAAGCCUGACGGAGCAACGCCGCGUGAGUGAUGAAGGUCUUCGGAUCGUAAAACUCUGUUAGUAGGGAAGAACAAAUGUGUAAGUAACUAUGCACGUCUUGACGGUACCUAAUCAGAAAGCCACGGCUAACUACGUG
rnacentral:rRNA from 1 species